rfam:TPA: Bos taurus chromosome 16, whole genome shotgun sequence.
UCCCUGGUGGCUCAGAUGGUAAAGCGUCUGCCUGCAAUACAGGAGACCCAGGUUCGAUCCCUGGGUUGGGAA